GUAUGGGACUGUCGCAGUCUGACCAGCCAUGCCGCGUGCAGUGAUGACGGCCCUAUGGGUUGUAAACUGCUUUUCUACGGGAAAAACCCCCCCGACGUGUCGGGGAUUGACGGUACCGUGGGAAUAAACAUCGGCUAACUCCGUGCCAUCCCCCCCGGUAAUACGGAGGAUGCGGGCGUUAUCCGGAUUUAUUGGGUUUAAAGGGUGCGUAGGCGGACUAGUAAGUCAGUGGUGAAAUCCCCCCGCUCAACCUAGGAACUGCCCUUGAUACUGUUAUUCUAGAGUACAGUUGAAGUGAGCGGAAUGUAACAUGUAGCGGUGAAAUGCAUAGAUAUGCUACAGAACACCAAUCGCGAAGGCAGCUCGCUAACCUGUAACUGACGCUAAUGCACGAAAGCGUGGGGAUCAAACAGGAUUAGAUACCCUGGUAGUCCACGCUGUAAACGAUGAUCACUCGUUGUUGGCGAUACACUGUCAGCGACUGAACGAAAGUAUUAAGUGAUCCACCUGGGAAGUACGAUCGCAAGGUUGAAACUCAAAUGAAUUGACGGAAUU
rnacentral:rRNA from 1 species